rnacentral:rRNA from 13 species
AAUUCGGCAAAAUACCUCCGUAACUUCGGGAGAAGGAGGGCCGGUUGUCUUGAGGCUCCUUGCGGGCUAGGGACGGCCGGUCGCAGAGACCAGGCCCAAGCGACUGUUUACUAAAAACACAGGUCCGUGCGAAGUCGCAAGACGAUGUAUACGGACUGACGCCUGCCCGGUGCUGGAACGUUAAGAGGACCUGUUAGCUCUUCGGGGCGAAGCGGAGAAUUUAAGCGCCAGUAAACGGCGGUGGUAACUAUAACCAUCCUAAGGUAGCGAAAUUCCUUGUCGGGUAAGUUCCGACCUGCACGAAUGGCGUAACGACUUCCCCACUGUCUCCAGGAUAUGCUCAGCGAAAUUGAAUUCUCCGUGAAGAUGCGGAGUACCCGCGGUUAGACGGAAAGACCCCGUGCACCUUUACUAUAGUUAUGCAGUGUAAUGAAUUUUUUUUUGUGUAGAAUAGGUGGUAAGUUGUUAAUUUAAAUGGCUAUUUGCGCUAGCAAAUAAGUUAAACAUCGUUGAAAUACCACUCUAAAAACUUUUCAUUACUCAUUGAUUAAGACAUUGUAUAAUGGGUAGUUUGACUGGGGCGGUCGCCUCCUAAAGAGUAACGGAGGCGUGCAAAGGUAAACUUAAGUUGAACUAGUACAACUUUAAAGCAUAAUAGUAUAUGUUUGCCUGAUUGUAAGAUUGACAAAUCGAGCAAGGACGAAAGUCGGUUAUAGUGAUCCGGUAAUUCUGUGUGGAAAAGGUUACCGCUCAACGAAUAAAAGGUACGCCGGGGAUAACAGGCUAAUCACUCUCCAGAGACCCUAUCGACGGAGUGGUUUGGCACCUCGAUGUUGGAUCAUCGCAUCCUGGAGCUGUAGGCGGUUCCAAGGGUUUGACUGUUCGUCAAUGAAGGCGGUACGUGAUCUGAGUUCAGAACGUUGUGAAACAGUUUGGUCCCUAUCUACCGUAAGAGUAAAAAACUGAGAGGAGUAGAGUAUAGUACGAGAGGACCCAUGAAGAUAAAUCCCUGGUGAAUCGAUUGUUAGACCAAUAGCAUAGUCGAUUAGCUACAUUUAAAAUAAAUAAUCACUGAAAGCAUCUAAGUGAGAAAUUAACCUCAAUACAAGUUUUUUCUAAAAUGUAGAAGAUUACUACAUUGAUAGGCCUGAUGUUUAAGAGUUGUAAGACUUUCAGCUGACAGGUACUAAAAAG